GACGAACGCUGGCGGCGCGCCUAACCCAUGCAAGUCGAACGGAGCUGAGAGAAGCUUGCUUUUCUUAGCUUAGUGGCGAACGGGUGAGUAACGCGUGAGUAACCUGCCCUGGAGUGGGGGACAACAGUUGGAAACGACUGCUAAUACCGCAUAAGCCCACGAUCCGGCAUCGGAUUGAGGGAAAAGGAUUUAUUCGCUUCAGGAUGGACUCGCGUCCAAUUAGCUAGUUGGUGAGGUAACGGCCCACCAAGGCGACGAUUGGUAGCCGGACUGAGAGGUUGAACGGCCACAUUGGGACUGAGACACGGCCCAGACUCCUACGGGAGGCAGCAGUGGGGGAUAUUGCACAAUGGGGGAAACCCUGAUGCAGCGACGCCGCGUGGAGGAAGAAGGUUUUCGGAUUGUAAACUCCUGUCGUUAGGGACGAUAAUGACGGUACCUAACAAGAAAGCACCGGCUAACUACGUG
rnacentral:rRNA from 1 species